AUUGAACGCUGGCGGCAGGCCUAACACAUGCAAGUCGAACGAGUGGCGGACGGGUGAGUAAUGUCUGGGAAACUGCCUGAUGGAGGGGGAUAACUACUGGAAACGGUAGCUAAUACCGCAUACCAUCGGAUGUGCCCAGAUGGGAUUGGCUUGUUGGUGGGGUAACGGCUCACCAAGGCGACUAUCCCUAGCUGGGCUGAGAGGAUGACCGGCCAAACUGGAACGGAGACACGGUCCAGACUCCUACGGGAGGCAGCAGUGGGGAAUAGUGCAAAAUGGGAGCAAGCCUGAUGCAGCCAUGCCGCGUGUGUGAAGAAGGCCUUCGGGUUGUAAAGCACUUUCAGCGAGGAGGCGUUACUCGCAGAAGAAGCACCGGCUAACUCCGUGCCAGCAGCCGCGGUAAUAC
rnacentral:rRNA from 1 species